rnacentral:rRNA from 1 species
AAUAGAUACCCCGGUAGUCCACGCCGUAAACGAUGGAUACUAGCUGUUCGGUAGCAAUACUGAGUGGCUAAGCGAAAGUGAUAAGUAUCCCACCUGGGGAGUACGAACGCAAGUUUGAAACUCAAAGGAAUUGACGGGGGCCCGCACAAGCGGUGGAGCAUGUGGUUUAAUUCGAUGAUACGCGAGGAACCUUACCAGGGCUUAAAUGUAGAGUAACAGGACUGGAAACAGUUUUUUCUUCGGACACUUUACAAGGUGCUGCAUGGUUGUCGUCAGCUCGUGCCGUGAGGUGUCAGGUUAAGUCCUAUAACGAGCGCAACCCCUGUUGUUAGUUGCCAGCGAGUAAUGUCGGGAACUCUAACAAGACUGCCGGUGCAAACCGUGAGGAAGGUGGGGAUGACGUCAAAUCAUCACGGCCCUUAGUCCUGGGCUACACACGUGCUACAAUGGCCGGUACAGAGAGCAGCCACCUCGGCAGGGGGGANCGAAUCUAUAAAGCCGGUCACAGUUCGGAUUGGAGUCUGCAACCCGAUCCA